rnacentral:rRNA from 1 species
AGCAGCCGCGGUAAUUCCAGCUCCAAUAGCGUAUAUUAAAGUUGUUGCAGUUAAAAAGCUCGUAGUUGAAUUUCGGGAUCAGUACGCCGGUCGUGCCUCCGGUAUGUACUGGUGUCACUGGUUCCUCCCUUCUGAAGAACCAUCAUGCUAUUAAUUUAGUGUGGUGGGAAAUCAGGACUGUUACUUUGAAAAAUUAGAGUGUUUAAAGCAGGCUCACGCUUGAAUACAUUAGCAUGGAAUAAUGAAAUAGGACGUUGAUCCUAUUUUGUUGGUUUCUAGGAUUGACGUAAUGAUUAAUAGGGAUAGGUUGGGGGCAUUAGUAUUCAAUUGUC